rnacentral:rRNA from 1 species
UACGUAGGGGGCAAGCGUUGUCCGGAUUUAUUGGGCGUAAAGAGCGUGUAGGCGGCCAGAUAGGUCCGUUGUGAAAACUCGAGGCUCAACCUCGAGACGCCGAUGGAAACCAUCUGGCUAGAGUCCGGAAGAGGAGAGUGGAAUUCAUGGUGUAGCAGUGAAAUGCGUAGAGAUCAUGAGGAAGACCAGUGGCGAAGGCGGGUCUCUGGACAGUUCCUGACACUGAGACACGAAGGCCAGGGGAGCAAACGGG